UACAGAGGGUGCAAGCGUUAAUCGGAAUUACUGGGCGUAAAGCGUGCGUAGACGGUUACAUAAGUCGGGUGUGAAAGCCCCGGGCUCAACCUGGGAAUUGCAUUCGAGACUGCGUAGCUAGGGUGCGGAAGAGGGAAGCGGAAUUCCGGUGUAGCGGUGGAAAUGACGUAGAUAUCGGAAGGAACACCAGUGGCGAAAGCGGCUUCCUGGUCC
rnacentral:rRNA from 1 species